rnacentral:rRNA from 1 species
AGAAUGAACGUUGGCGGCGUGGAUUAGGCAUGCGAGUCGAGCGAGAACCCGCAAGGGGGACAGCGGCAAACGGGGUAGGAAGGCGUAGGUUACGUACCCUCGGGACGGGGAUAGCCAUCCGAAAGGAUGGGUAAUACCCGAUAACGUCGAGAGACCAAAGGUGUGAUUCCACCUGGGGAGCGGCCUGCGUAGUAUUAGCUUGUUGGUGAGGUAAUGGCUUACCAAGGCUUCGAUGCUUAGGGGGUUGAGAGCAUGACCCCCCACACUGGGACUGAGAUACUGCCCAGACACCUACGGGUGCUGCAGUCGAGAAUCUUCGGCAAUGGGGGAAACCCUGACCGAGCCGACGCCGCGUGUGGGACUGAAGGGCCCUUGGGUCGUAAAACCACUGUCAGAGGGAUGAAAUGCGAGGGGGUUCUCCCCCGUAUUUCGACAUAGCCUCAGAGAACGCACGGACUAAGUUCGUGCCG